rnacentral:lncRNA from 1 species
UUCGGACCAGCAACGUGAAAACAAAUUGAGCAACAUACAACAUUCACCUGCUCCAUACAUUCUACAUAUUCAUUCUAAUAUAAUCAUCAUAUUCAUCAUCUACAUUCUACACCAUUCAUCUACUCUAAUCAGCCAUUUUCUACACAUUCAUCUACAUCAUCCACAUCCUAAACACAUUCCCAUCCACAUUCUAAACCAUCAUCCUAAACACAUUCAUCUUCACCGUCCACAUCCUAAACAUUCAUCUACACCAUCCACAUCCUAAACAUUCAUCUAAUCUAAUCAUCCACAUUCAUCUACACCAUCCUAAACAUUCAUCUACACCUUCCUAAACAUUCACCUAAUCUAAUCAUCAACAUUCAUCUAAUCUAAUCAUCCACAUCACAUCCUAAACAUUCAUCUAAUCUAAUCAUCCACACCCUAAACAUUCACUACACAUACAGCUUUUACCAGCCGUCAUAACUACACAUACAUUUUACCAUCACAUAUAUAGCUUACAAGCAAGCAUUUAUCAUUCAUCCUACAAAGUAAGGCACAUUCCCAAGAUUCUCUGUUCCUUCACAUCCGAUCUUUUUUUUUUCCGUCUGUAGUUUCUCUCAAAAGGACAUGCACUUGUUAACUCACUCUUUUUGAAUAUGUGUUCAU